GGACGAAAGUCUGAUGGAGCAACGCCGCGUGAGCGAAGAAGGCCUUCGGGUCGUAAAGCUCUGUUGUUAGGGAAGAACAAGUAUCGGAGUAACUGCCGGUACCUUGACGGUACCUAACCAGAAAGCCACGGCUAACUACGUGCCAGCAGCCGCGGUAAUACGUAGGUGGCAAGCGUUGUCCGGAAUUAUUGGGCGUAAAGCGCGCGCAGGCGGUCCUUUAAGUCUGAUGUGAAAGCCCACGGCUCAACCGUGGAGGGUCAUUGGAAACUGGGGGACUUGAGUGCAGAAGAGGAAAGCGGAAUUCCACGUGUAGCGGUGAAAUGCGUAGAGAUGUGGAGGAACACCAGUGGCGAAGGCGGCUUUCUGGUCUGUAACUGACGCUGAGGCGCGAAAGCGUGGGGAGCAAACAGGAUUAGAUACCCUGGUAGUCCACGCCGUAAACGAUGAGUGCUAAGUGUUAGGGGGUUUCCGCCCCUUAGUGCUGCAGCUAACGCAUUAAGCACUCCGCCUGGGGAGUACG
rnacentral:rRNA from 1 species